rnacentral:rRNA from 1 species
CCUAAAUACUAAUACCAGAUCGAUAGUGCACAAGUACCGUGAGGGAAAGGUGAAAAGAACUGAGGUGAUCAGAGUGAAAUAGAACCUGAAACCAUUUGCUUACAAUCAUUCAGAGCCCUAUGUAGCAAUACAGGGUGAUGGACUGCCUUUUGCAUAAUGAGCCUGCGAGUUGUGGUGUCUGGCAAGGUUAAGCAAACGCGAAGCCGUAGCGAAAGCGAGUCUGAAUAGGGCGCUUAGUCAGAUGCUGCAGACCCGAAACGAAGUGAUCUAUCCAUGAGCAAGUUGAAGCUAGUGUAAGAACUAGUGGAGGACUGAACCCAUAGGCGUUGAAAAGCCCCGGGAUGACUUGUGGAUAGGGGUGAAAGGCCAAUCAAACUUCGUGAUAGCUGGUUCUCUCCGAAAUAUAUUUAGGUAUAGCGUUGUGUCGUAAUAUAAGGGGGUAGAGCACUGAAUGGGCUAGGGCAUACACCAAUGUACCAAACCCUAUCAAACUCCGAAUACCUUAUAUGUAAUCACAGCAGUCAGGCGGCGAGUGAUAAAAUCCGUCGUCAAGAGGGAAACAACCCAGACUACCAGCUAAGGUCCCUAAAUCUUACUUAAGUGGAAAACGAUGUGAAGUUACUUAAACAACCAGGAGGUUGGCUUAGAAGCAGCCAUCCUUUAAAGAAAGCGUAAUAGCUCACUGGUCUAGUGAUUUUGCGCGGAAAAUAUAACGGGGCUAAAGUAAGUACCGAAGCUGUAGACUUGCACACAACUUAGAUUAUUUAAGUUUAGAAUAUGAGAAACUAAGUUAUAUGUUUAGUUAUAUUUUUACUGAUUUUUAUAGAGUAAAGAUAGAAAUAAAACUUAGUAAAAUCAGUAAAAAUAUUCUUAGACUAAAGUUAAGUAGUUUAAGUUGUGUGCAAGUGGUAGGAGAGCGUUCUAUUUGCGUCGAAGGUAUACCGGUAAGGAGUGCUGGAGCGAAUAGAAGUGAGCAUGCAGGCAUGAGUAGCGAUAAUUAAUGUGAGAAUCAUUAACGCCGUAAACCCAAGGUUUCCUACGCGAUGCUCGUCAUCGUAGGGUUAGUCGGGUCCUAAGUCGAGUCCGAAAGGGGUAGACGAUGGCAAAUUGGUUAAUAUUCCAAUACCAACAUUAGUGUGCGAUGGAAGGACGCUUAGGGCUAAGGGGGCUAGCGGAUGGAAGUGCUAGUCUAAGGUCGUAGGAGGUUAUACAGGCAAAUCCGUAUAACAAUACUCCGAGAACUGAAAGGCUUUUUGAAGUCUUCGGAUGGAUAGAAGAACCCCUGAUGCCGUCGAGCCAAGAAAAGUUUCUAAGUUUAGCUAAUGUUGCCCGUACCGUAAACCGACACAGGUGGGUGGGAUGAGUAUUCUAAGGCGCGUGGAAGAACUCUCUUUAAGGAACUCUGCAAAAUAGCACCGUAUCUUCGGUAUAAGGUGUGGUUCGCUUCGUAUUAGGAUUUACUCCGAAAGCGAAGAAACUUACAACAAAGAGUCCCUCCCGACUGUUUACCAAAAACACAGCACUCUGCUAACUCGUAAGAGGAUGUAUAGGGUGUGACGCCUGCCCGGUGCUCGAAGGUUAAUUGAUGGGGUUAGCAUUAGCGAAGCUCUUGAUCGAAGCCCGAGUAAACGGCGGCCGUAACUAUAACGGUCCUAAGGUAGCGAAAUUCCUUGUCGGUUAAAUACCGACCUGCAUGAAUGGCGUAACGAGAUGGGAGCUGUCUCAAAGAGGGAUCCAGUGAAAUUGUAGUGGAGGUGAAAAUUCCUCCUACCCGCGGCAAGACGGAAAGACCCCGUGGACCUU